rnacentral:tRNA from 1 species
GAUUUAAUCUGGUGUAGUGGUUUGAGUGUUGGAUUAUGACUCUGGAGACCAGGGUUCGAAUCCCUGCUUGGCCA